rnacentral:rRNA from 1 species
UCUCGGCAACGGAUAUCUNGGCUCUCGCAUCGAUGAAGAACGUAGCGAAAUGCGAUACCUGGUGUGAAUUGCAGAAUCCCGCGAACCAUCGAGUCUUUGAACGCAAGUUGCGCCCGAGGCCAUUCGGCCGAGGGCACGCCUGCCUGGGCGUCACGCUAAACACGCUC